CGUAGGAUCACCGAAGUUAAGCAACAUCGAGCCUGGUUAGUACCUAGAUGGGUGACUGUUUGGGAAAACUAAUUGCUGUAAG